rnacentral:rRNA from 15 species
CUAAGGAGUGUGUAACAACUCACCUGCCGAAUGAACUAGCCCUGAAAAUGGAUGGCGCUAAGCGUCCCACCUAUAGCCCCCCCUCGGGGUAGGAUCGUCGCCCCGAGGAGUAGGCAGGCGCGGGGGUCCGUGACGAAGCCUAGGGCGUGAGCCCGGGUCGAACGGCCCCUGGUGCAGAUCUUGGUGGUAGUAGCAAAUACUUCAAUGAGAACUUGAAGGACCAAAGUGGAGAAAGGUUCCAUGCGAACAGCGGUUGGACGUGGGUCAGUCGGUCCUGAGUCAUAGGGAAGUUCCGUUUCAAAGGGGCACUCGUGCCCCGUAUGGCGAAAGGGAAGCUGGUCAAGAUCCCAGCACAAGGAUGUGGGUUUUACGCGGCAACGCAACCAAACGCGGAGACGGCGGCGGGAGCCCAGGGAGGAGUUAUCUUUUCUUCUUAACGGUCCAGCGACCCUGAAAUCGGUUUGUCCGGAGAUAGGGUUCAGUGGCCGGAAGAGCCUGGCAGUUU